rnacentral:rRNA from 1 species
GGGCCCGCACAAGCGGUGGAGUAUGUGGUUUAAUUCGAUGCAACGCGAAGAACCUUACCAGGGUUUGACAUCCUGCGAAUCUCUUGGAAACGAGAGAGUGCCUUCGGGAGCGCAGUGACAGGUGGUGCAUGGCUGUCGUCAGCUCGUGUCGUGAGAUGUUGGGUUAAGUCCCGCAACGAGCGCAACCCACGUCUUUAGUUGCCAGCGAUUCGGUCGGGAACUAUAAGGGGACUGCCGGUGAUAAACCGGAGGAAGGUGUGGAUGACGUCAAGUCAUCAUGCCCCUUACAUCCUGGGCUACACACGUACUACAAUGCUACGGACAAAGGGCAGCAAACUCGCGAGAGCUAGCAAAUCCCAUAAACCGUGGCUCAGUUCAGAUCGUAGGCUGCAACUCGCCUACGUGAAGGAGGAAUCGCUAG